rnacentral:lncRNA from 1 species
AAAUCCAGAUCCGGUAAUUUACCCGGGUAAAACUUUAGAAGUUGCAGUAAUCCCCAUACGGUAAAAACAUCUCUUGUUUGAUAAACAUAUGAAUACUGCUCUAGGUAAAGUUUUCCAUCUAAUAUCACUAUUCUCCUAUUUGCUUUGGGAAUUCCACUCUCCACAAUUUCUUUGGUUAUGCCUGUCUUUUGCCAUGUCCUUAAGUCUUCGUGAAUCCAUCGGAAAUAUUCGGGACAUUCCCCGGCCGAUGAGUUAUCGGUGUUGAUUAUUUUCGGAUAAUUUGUAAUUGGGCAUGUUUGUGUAGUGUUUUCGGAAUAAGAGCAAUUGAGCUCAUAUUUAAAUUUGGCAUCUGUUGUUGUGGAAUUUCUAGAUGUUAAAAAUGACUUCUGAAACGAAGCGCCGGUAAAAAAGUACUGUAAAAAUGAAACUAGUUAAAGAGGAAUUGUUAUGACAAAUACUAUAAAUCAAUUCACAAAGAUAAAUACAAUAACACAAGGUUUUACAUGAAAACGUAAAUUGAAAAAAAAAACUAUCGAGAAAAGCAGAAGGAAUCCAAUACAAAGUUUUAGUUGAAAACCCAAAUCAGAAAAAAAAAUCACGGAGAAAGACAGAAGAAAUUCACUAAAUAAAAAUCUAAAGAAUACGAGAUAACUAUAAUAAUUAUUUGAAUGUUUCUGAAUUAUUAAAAUUUGCUUCCAAAGUCGGAAAGAUUUGGAAGAAAAUUUUCCAACCACUUAGAUUACAAAUUAAAAUACCAAAAGUACCCUUAUAAUAAUUUCUAAAAUGUAAUCUCAUAAGGUUAAAAUAAUAAUAAUAUAUUAUUUUAAGUUAAAAUUUCCUUCUAAAACUCACAAACACAAAGAAAGAAAGAGUAAAUUUCGUUUCCUUUAUUCUUUUUUCUCACAGAAAAUUUAAAUUUGUUUCUUUUUUCUCUCCCCAAACUCACAAACAAAGUGCAGAAGUGUGGAACAGAGCCAGUCAAACAAACCAUAAACAGAGCAAAACUCUCACAUCAAUAAUCCAAGGUACCUAUAGGCUAUAGCCAAAAAUCAAGAUGAGAAAUUGCCCACCUCAUUGUAUAUUACUUUUUUUCUGAUAAAAAGGGAUGAUAAUGUAAACAUAUAGAACUUUCAUCACCAUAAUUUUAUUUUAUUUAAAAAAAAAUUGCACUAACAUCAAAAAUUUAUCACUAAAGCCUGGUCGAUAUAUAUAUAACUAGCUACCUUCCAAUUUCCAAAUUAACAAGGGUUCUUAUUUCUUCUGUAGAUGUCCAAACUUAAUUGGAACAAAAUAAGUGCAUGAUGAACUUACGUGGUCUAGCCAGCGGGUGGCGAAAAGGGAUCCGAUGAACAUAAAUAUAAAAAAUAUGGUGGCAGUUGUUAAAGCUGCUCCUCCUUCCUUCAUAAUUAUCUGCCCAAUGGUUUUUGAAUAAUAUGAUUCAGCUUCAUCCAACCCACUCUUACUCUUAUUUGAUGCACCAUCAUAUUAUAUUUAAUGCAUGUUUGGCUUGUCUAAACAUGAAGAGUUGAGAAUAAUUUCAGAAUAUAUAUCCAAAUAAUUAAAUAAUUAUAUAUAUGGGGAAUGAUUCAUAAUAAAUACUUGAUAUAGAUCAAAAAUGGUCAAACAUCGUCUCUAUCGUCCAAUAGUACUCCCUUACAUUAUAUGUAUAGGCUACUAAUUCAAUUACUAUAAUUAAGAUAAUAUUUUUUCAUAUGUACUUUGUAAUAAUCUAGUCUCACAACAAAAAAUAUUAUUUAUAUAUAAAGAAUUAAGUUACUAACAAUAAUACAUUCAGUCAUGACAUGUUAGGUGAAUAUGCGGUGAAUUCAGAUAAUCCAAGAAGAUAAAAUUGGAUUAGUAGUUUAAGCCUUGGUUGGAUGAAUUUAAUUUGAUUCGUACUUGAAAUUUGACUCAAGAUUUAGUUAUCUGUAUAUAAGAAGUUAAGUUACUAAAAAUAAUAAUUUAAAUCUUGUUUAGAUGAAUUUAAUUUAAUUCAAAUUUAAGAUUUGACUCAAAAUCUAUUUCGCAAUCGAGAUUUUAUCUGAGUUGUUUCAACUUACAACACAUUUUGUUUGUUUUCUUGAUGAUAUUCAAAGUUUCAAACAUGUCUAGAAGAUAACAACAUGAUUGAUUGUUUGUCAUGUUUUCUUUUUCUUUUUAUGGGGAAACCGGUUAAUUGGUUAUAUUGUUACUAUACCACCUACCAAAUUAUUUCGUGUUAAUUAAAAAUCUAACUGACUAAUCAUAAUUAACCCUUCUACAUCACGAGUUGCAUGCAAUACGUGUCCCUUUAAAAUUAUGCUACUAAUUAAAUAACUAUAAUUAAGAUAAUAGUAAUAAUUUUUCAUAUGAACUUACAAGACAUUUUGUUUGUUUUUCUUGAUGAUAUUCAAACUUUCAAACACGUCUAGGUGAUGGGUCUUUCUACACAGACCGGUUUAUUGGACAUUUUUAAUUUUUAAUUUUUUUUUUCUCUUGUGACUCCCAAAAAAUAUAAACUAUUUGUUCCAACAGAAUUUUUUAAAAAAUAUAAUGUUUUAGGUGUAAUUUGGAUACAUAUACAAAAACAGGAUUGUACAAUAUACAUAAUUUUAAAUAAUAUACAUUUUAAAUAGUAUAUAUUUUUUGAGUCACAAACUAAAAAAAAAAAAUUAAAAAUAUCCAAUAUUCAUAUCUGCUAAAAAUGUCUGCCAAGACUUAUUCCUAGGGGAUUGAUUGUUUGUCAUGUUUUUUUCUCUUUUUUUUGGGGUAACCGAUUAAUUGAUUAUAGUGUUACUAUCCCACCCACCUACCAAAUUAUUUCGUGUGAAUUAAAUAUCUAACUCACUAAUAAUAAUUAUUAACCCUUCUAAACUCUGAUAAUUACUCUUUCCCGCUUUCCUUUUUCCUUCCUAAACUUUUUUAUUCUCUCUCUAUUCCAAAAUACAAUAUCAGUAUUAAUUUUUCCAAGUCAAUUUUGAUAUCUUUUUAAAAUUUAAAAUUGAUGUUUUUAAUUUUUGAAAAUAAAAAAUUAAUAUUUGAUAGCAACUUUUUAGAUGAGCCCGAUAUCUCAUCCCUUAAUAGUACUUCCUUCGUUUUUCAAUACAAGUCGUUUUAGAGAAUUAUUUGUGUUUCUUAAUAUAAGUCGUUUGAAAAUUUCAAGUAAGCAUUAAUUGCUUAGUUUUUAAUAUUACCCCAAGUAAAAAAUAUAACUUUGAUUUUCACACUAUUUUUUACCCAAUAAAUAACGCUCUUUUUUUUCAAUACAAGGGUAAUAUAAACAAUUAAUAUUAUAUUUAAUGAUAUACAAUCAUUUCCUUAAUACUUGUGCACAACUCUAAAAUCACUUAUAUUAAAGAAUAUAAGUUAUACAACCAAGAAGAAUAAAGGGUCCUUAACACUAAUAUACAACAAUUAGAAAGUAUUUACAAAAAUAAUACAUACACAAAAUAAUUACAAAAAUGAUGCAAUUCACAUUAAUAAGGAAACCUAAAAUUAAGGAGAAAUAACUGCCAUAAUUAAUAAUUCAAAUUCAAAAUAUCUGGGAUCUAACCACAAAAACAAAAUCAAAUUCAAAAUAAUAAUUCAAAUUCAAAUCUUCAUAGAAAAGACUGCACAAAUUUGUACUUCAGAGGAGGUGGCGGAGGUAACUUCGGAGGAGGUGGAAGCUUCGGAGGGAGGUGGUAGUGGUGGCUUUGGAGGCGACGGUGAAGGCUAUGGAAGAGGUAGCAAUGGCGGUGGCGAUGGCGGAGUUGGCGGUGGUGGCUCAGGUGGUGGUUACAGAGACGGUGGAGGUGGAGGUGUAGGAUGGGGGCGGUGGUGGCGGGAGCAACCAUUUUUCGGUAAUAAAAGAAAAUUCUCGAGAUACUGCAGAGGAGAAGAACAUUAGUAAUGUCAUGACACCAAAGAGCAAUUAGAGUUCAUGACAUGGACAGAGAGAUAAAUGCAUAAUUGGUGUCAUCAUGUAAUUAAUAAGCUAGAUAGCUACUUAAUAAUAGCACUGGAACACCUUCGGUUCUAGUUUUAUAAACAAAUUUUGUUUUCUGAAUCGGAAAGAGAGAGAUAAGAGAUUGAUGUGUAAUGUAAUGUUGAUAACCAAACAUUCGUACCAAGGUAACCAAACUUUUAUACUAAGGUAACCUUGAGAUGAAAGUUUGGUUACCAACUGCACUAUAAAAAAACUGCAGGUGUGAAUUGGUUACCUUGGUAUGAAAGUUUGGUUACCUUGGUAUGGAUGUGUGGAUUGGUUACCUUGGUAACCAAACUUUUAUACCAAGGUAACCAAACCUUUAUACUAAGGUAACCUUGAUAUAAAAGUUUGGUUACCAACUCCACUAUGAAAAAACUGCAUGUGUGAAUUGGUUACCUUGGUAUGAAGGUUUGGUUACCUUGGUAUGGAGGUUUGGUUACCUUGGUAUAGAGGUGUGGAUUGAUUAUCUUGGUAUGACAAUUUGGUUACCUUGGUAUGAAGGUUUGGUUACCUUGGUGUGGAGGUUUGGUUACCUUGGUAUAGAGGUGUGGAUUGAUUAUCUUGGUAUGACAAUUUGGUUACCUUGGUAUGAAGGUUUGGUUACCUUGGUAUAAAAGUUUGGUUACCAAUUGCACUACGAAAAUGAGGAUGGUUUUGCUGAAAUACAGAGUAACAGAACUUGUAAUUUGUUAAAGAAACCCCAAACUUUUAACCAAUCGUAAUGACUGUACAAUAAUACAUGAAAAGCUAACAAAGACAAAAAGAAUGAUGCUUGUAAAAAUUCCAAAACACUCUUUUGUAAGUAAGAGAGGAUAAUUUUCUCAACUCUCUCAAACAGAGACGCUCGACAAGUUUUUCGGAAGUUGGUUUCAAGAACACAGGAAUAAACCUACCUCUUAUGGCAAGAAAAAGUUAAAAGCAACAUUGAACAAAUCAAGAUAUGGAGAUUGGGGAAUUAUCUACCCCCCUAUGUGAUGUGUGGUGUGUCUGAGAUAUAACCUUCAACUGCAUAUAUUUUUAUAUGCAUAAAGGGGCUUAUUAACCCUCUGAGAGAGACAAUAGAAUUAAUCCUAAAAAAUCAAGAAAAAUUUCUUCAAGAUGUGCAGAUGUGGUUGAAGUAUAAAAGGAAGAGGAUAUAGAGAGAAGGGAAGAGGAUGACGUGAAUUAUAUGGGAAAAAAGAGAGUAAUAAUUAACGGGAAGAGAUAAGGGAGAUAAUCAUGGGCCACAAUAAAGAAUACUCAAUUAUAUUAAUUUUGUAAAUAAAUAUGAUGAAGUGUCAUAUUUUUGUAAUUAUUUUAUAGAUGUAUAAUUAUUGUAAUUAUUUUUAAAAAUAUACUAUAAUAUGUAAUUACUCCAAAAAUAAAAUCAACAUAAAAUCUUGGAGUGGGCUUAAAUAUUUCAAUGAAGGCCCUUACCAUUUAAGCCCAGAAAAAGAAACUUUUAUAUUAUAUGAACCCAAAAUACUACAUGCAAAAUUUAAAACAUGUUCAUGCAUAUUUUAGCAAUCAUACCACCAGAACUUCAUUGAAACAAGUAUGUCUCUUAUUGCGGUUCACCUUCAUAUUUUUCGUGGUCUAUAUCAUGCAAGUUAUAAUAAUCUUAAUUAAACAAUUUGUUCGGUGUAAUUCGGAGUUAUAAUAUUCCUUUUUUUUUCUUUUUCUUUUUUUGAUAAUGUGGAGUUUUCUAAUCGCAGUCGGACUAAGUCUCCCCACCCCGGACUAUGUUUUACGCACAGGCUCGGCCUAAAACAUGGCUCCGUCCAGAAAUGUGCGAUCCGUGGCCACACGAACCAGUUUUUAAUUAGUCCUCACACUUGUUGCAGGCGGGAAUCGAUCCCAGGAUGUCCGAGUGUAAUUCGAAGUUAUAAUAUUCCAAUUAAUGAUUGUGACAGUUCUUAUAGGAUACAUACCACCUUAGGGACAGAUGAGCUUUUGAGGAGCUACAAUAAUUACAAGUUUAAAUAGCGUCAUACUUGUAGUAGGAGAUACCAUAACGACUUGACUUUGGGGUGGUUUCUUCGUUGAUAAUUACGUGUAAAUUUUCUUUAAGUUCCCGUCUUAUUGUCUAAUUCCAUUCCCAACUCAAAAUACAUGAAUUGUAAUCUUAUUGUAUUAUAAAACUUUUUUAUGUCGCAUCAACAUAUUUUUUUACUUGUAAAAGGAAAGACAAACUACAAAAUACAGAUUAUAUAUCUAUGAAAGGUGAUUUCAUCAACUCUCUCUCUCAAUAAGAACACCUAAACAAAAAUGUCUUAUCUUCAUUUAAAAAUUCACUUCUUUAGCUUUCCCACUCUUUUCCCACGUCUCCACUUCCUUUAUUAUUCUUGCUUUCUUAUCUCUUAAAGCAUGAAGAUCUUGGGGAGUAUAUGGAGGAGGCAAAAUGCAUGGAGCUGAAUCAGAAGGAGCCUUCACCAUGGAUUCUAUCUUGAACUUCUUGUUUAACUCUAGGGGUUCUCUACAAGCCAUUGUCUCCGGGCAAACUUCGACGGCGCCGGGAGGUACUGUUGGUUUAUAAGUCAUGAGCUUUGAAUAUUCAUUCAACGUAUGAAACAUGUAGUCAUAAAUAUUCUUCAUCUUUAACCCCUCUUGUAUGAAUUUGCUCCCCUCUCUUCCAAUUUUUUGAGCCUUCAAGUCAGAAAAUUGAGUAAAAAAUAAAGUACAGAAGUUUCUCUUUCAAGUGUUUUAGGGUUCGCCAUAUAUAGCUCAACAGUCUGUCUGUGAUAUGUGAUAUGGCGAGCCACUGUUUUGCUUUUAAUUUUGUUUAAAAUAUGUGGAGUUACCUUCUUCUUGUGGCUAUUUCCCCAAUCAACAGCAAAUUUAACUGAUCUGCACUUAUCAUUAUUGUUUAUCGGCCAAUAGUGCACCAAAGGUUGUAAACCUCUUGUAAAGAAAUCAUAGUACUGAGGAUUAAUGAGAAGAGUCAUAGAAUCGCAGGCUAAAAUAUAUUUUUCACUAACAGACCAUGCUCUUCCUUCAAUAUAAAUCUUGUAUCUACACAAAUUAAGUCCAAAAAAAGAGGUUAAUUAAUUAACAAGUAUAUUGAAGUAUAUAUUUUGUAUAAUUUAAUUUGUUACAAAAUAAUGAACAUGAAUUAUAUAUAUAUAGGUCAAGAUUUAGAAACUACUGAAUUAAAUUUGGUACCUAUGAGUGCAUUGAUCUGCUAAAUUUGAAUGUGUGAAUCCUUUCUUUACCUCAUCAUUCCAAUUCUGCAAAAUUUUCUUAAAAUGCGUGAAAAAAAUAAUCGGAUAUAAGUAAGCAUUAUCUACGAUUAAUAUUUUACCCCAAAUUUAUACAUUCAAUGGAUGAAGUAUAAAUGAGAAAGAAGAGUAAUUACCACUUGAUACAGUCGAGCAUUCCAGUCAUUUUUGCGAGUGACAUUGCAUUUCAUGAGGUCGCCUCUGUUUCGACUGACCCAUCCAUUCCCUUGCCAAUGAGCAUAACCUCGUCUCUUCGACCAUUUCAUUCUCUUGCUUCCUUCUUUUAACUCCUUUUUCAAAGACUCCCAUGGCUUUAUAUUAAUCUCCGGCCUAGGAGGAACCAAAAAACAAAGCAAGCUAAGAAUUAAGUUGGCUUGAAAAUGUCCAAUAACAUUCACUACAAACAAAAUAUAAUUUCUUCAAACUCCACAGAAGUAUGCUAUUCGGGAGUGGUUAUCAUGAAGUUAACUUUGGUUAAUUGACGUAGGCGAGAAAUGAUCUCUCAGCGUGUCAGCACUGUAUUAGUCACAUGACCAACUUAUCAUAAAAUUAACUUUAUGAUAACCGGGUCAUACUAGUCAGUUAAAGAGUCGACUGAAGAAAUCAUACCAGCCCCAGAACGACCAAUCGGGAAAAACUAAAUCUAAAGUGGAAUCAUCGGCACAAUAAUGAAACACCGGUGGUGGAAUAGAUGCAUUCAUAUAGUCUGUCUUUGGGAUCCCUGGCAUGUCACCCAAUUCGAACAUGAAAUCCACAUCCGGUAAUUUACCCGGAUAAAACUUUAGAAGCUGCAGUAAUCCCCACAGUGAAAACACAUCCCUUGUUUGAAAAACAGCUGAAUACUGCUCUAGGUAAAGUUUUCCAUCUAAUAUCACUACUCUCAUAUUUGCCUUGGAAAUUCCACUCUCCACAAUUUCUUUGCUUACGCCCCCCGUCUGUUGCCAUGGUCUCAAGUCUUCGUAAAUCCACCGGAAAUAUUCAGGACAUGAUUCUUCCCCGGCCGAUGUAUUGAUUAUUUUCGGAUAAUUUGCUGGGCAUGUUUGUGUAGUGUUUUCGGAAU